rnacentral:rRNA from 1 species
CCUACGGGAGGCAGCAGUGAGGAAUAUUGGUCAAUGGACGAGAGUCUGAACCAGCCAAGUAGCGUGAAGGAUGACUGCCCUAUGGGUUGUAAACUUCUUUUAUAUGGGAAUAAAACGUUCCACGUGUGGGAUUUUGUAUGUACCAUAUGAAUACGGAUCGGCUAACUCCGUGCCAGCAGCCGCGGUAAUACGGAGGAUCCGAGCGUUAUCCGGAUUUAUUGGGUUUAAAGGGAGCGUAGGUGGAUUGUUAAGUCAGUUGUGAAAGUUUGCGGCUCAACCGUAAAAUUGCAGUUGAAACUGGCAGUCUUGAGUACAGUAGAGGUGGGCGGAAUUCGUGGUGUAGCGGUGAAAUGCUUAGAUAUCACGAAGAACUCCGAUUGCGAAGGCAGUUCACUGGACUGCAACUGACACUGAGGCUCGAAAGUGUGGGUAUCAAACAGGAUUAGAUACCCUAGUAGUC